UCGCUCUCGGCCUGCUCCUCGUCUUGGUCGUCGUCCGAAUCCGCAUCCGAGUCCGAGUCGGGCACAAGCUGC